AUCUGAAAUCAAUUAAACAACAGAAAAUAAGUUUGAAACCUGAUAAAUUUAAAAAUAUAUAUAAAAAAUAUGGUAGCGUAUUGUAUUAGCCAUAAUUGUAGCCUGAUUUGUGAAUAAUGUAGCAGUGCACAGGCCCUUGCUAGCAAAAUAAAAAUGUACCAAGUAUUCAGCUUUUUGAUAGAGGAGCAUGCGGUAACAAACUUAUUUCCAUGGCAUUCCAAGAUCAUAAAAAAUGCACCAUAGAAACCUCUCCACCUUCAUCUCAUUCCAUAUGCAUUAACAUGCCAAAGUAAAGUUGUUUCUAAAAUUUUCAAAUUCCUAACCACAGUUUUGAAUAGUGAGUAGAAGGAGAGGGAAAUCAGUUGAUGCACCCCCAGUGUGCAUACAUGCAGCAUGGUUAAAUAGGUCACAAUUACAAACUCAAAUGCAGGCCCAACUUAAUGUCAUAUCCAGUUUCAGAAUGCUGGAAUUGAUGGUUAAUCCAUAAGUGCUAUAGCCUUCAGUGAAAUAAUUUGUUAAUGCAGAUUUCAUGUAACAGCUUAAAGUGCUUCGCUAAGAGGAAAGGAAAUUAUAUUCCUUUCAUCAGAUUUUGGAGAAUGCAUUUUAAUUUCUAUAUUUCCAGACAAAAGGAUAUUGUAAUUUGGAAAGCUAUCCUCCAAGGAUCCUAGCACCUUUUAAAAUAUAUUGUGCCUAAUCAGCUUCUUCUAAGCUACUAGCUUUCCUUGAAUCACCUGUGAAUCACUUACAGAAAAAUCUGAGGCUAAUGAACCAGUCAUGACAUUUUAGAAGGAAGUGUCACUUAUAAACAUGUACAGAGGUAUUCACCUAUUUGUUGCUUCCAACUAUGUAAGCAAUACAUCCAUGCUCUUAACCCUUUCAGCUGCUAAUUUAGCAAACAAAUCAAGUAUUUCAAAUUAGUCCUCGAAUAUAACAUACCUUGUAGCAGAGUUCUGCUGCAUCAGUUUUUUUGGUAUCAGAUACAAGAAUAGUAGCCUAUGCUACUGUAGAGCAGGGAAAGAAUCUACCAGAAAAGGAUGAAAAAUGGCCAAAUUUUACGAAAGUUAAAGACAGUUUUUGAUGAAAUAUGGGCAAGAGACAUUGGCAGUAACGGGUGGAAUAUCCAGAUGAGCUUUUAAACAACUAAGUUAAACAUUGAUUUGGCUAAAAUGCAAAGCGAAAAUGAGACUGUGUGUUCUUUAACAUGUUUCCUAAUUUUAUAGUUUUUAAAUUAUUUGGAAACAAGCUCGUUAUGAAAACUGAAAAUACAAAAGGAUAUUCAAAAAGGAAAAGUACAAAAUCAUACAAUUAGAUGAAAAAGCUCUUUUUGAUGCUACACAGACUCUAAUUACAACAGUGUUUUAUUAUCCAAGUCAAUUUCUUUGAAGUUGGAAGUACCAACCACUAUCCAAGUGCUUUCUUUCUUCUUUCCUUUUCUUGAAGAUAAUUAAAUUUGCAAUUCUAGACAAGAAUGAAAGAGAAAUUCAUAACUA